rnacentral:rRNA from 1 species
UGGCGAACGGGUGAGUAACGCGUGAGGAACCUGCCUCAAAGAGGGGGACAACAGUUGGAAACGACUGCUAAUACCGCAUAAGCCCACGGGUCCGCAUCGACCUGAGGGAAAAGGAGCAAUCCGCUUUGAGAUGGCCUCGCGUCCGAUUAGCUAGUUGGUGAGGUAACGGCCCACCAAGGCGACGAUCGGUAGCCGGACUGAGAGGUUGAACGGCCACAUUGGGACUGAGACACGGCCCAG